rnacentral:rRNA from 1 species
UGCAGUCGAACGGCAGCACAGUAAGAGCUUGCUCUUAUGGGUGGCGAGUGGCGGACGGGUGAGGAAUACAUCGGAAUCUACCUUUUCGUGGGGGAUAACGUAGGGAAACUUACGCUAAUACCGCAUACGACCUUCGGGUGAAAGCAGGGGACCUUCGGGCCUUGCGCGGAUAGAUGAGCCGAUGUCGGAUUAGCUAGUUGGCGGGGUAAAGGCCCACCAAGGCGACGAUCCGUAGCUGGUCUGAGAGGAUGAUCAGCCACACUGGAACUGAGACACGGUCCAGACUCCUACGGGAGGCAGCAGUGGGGAAUAUUGGACAAUGGGCGCAAGCCUGAUCCAGCCAUACCGCGUGGGUGAAGAAGGCCUUCGGGUUGUAAAGCCCUUUUGUUGGGAAAGAAAAGCAGUCGAUUAAUACUCGGUUGUUCUGACGGUACCCAAAGAAUAAGCACCGGCUAACUUCGUGCCAGCAGCCGCGGUAAUACGAAGGGUGCAAGCGUUACUCGGAAUUACUGGGCGUAAAGCGUGCGUAGGUGGUUGUUUAAGUCUGUUGUGAAAGCCCUGGGCUCAACCUGGGAAUUGCAGUGGAUACUGGGCGACUAGAGUGUGGUAGAGGGUAGUGGAAUUCCCGGUGUAGCAGUGAAAUGCGUAGAGAUCGGGAGGAACAUCCAUGGCGAAGGCAGCUACCUGGACCAACACUGACACUGAGGCACGAAAGCGUGGGGAGCAAA